rnacentral:rRNA from 1 species
AUUGAACGCUGGCGGCAGGCUUAACACAUGCAAGUCGAGCGGAGAUGAGGUGCUUGCACCUUAUCUUAGCGGCGGACGGGUGAGUAAUGCUUAGGAAUCUGCCAUUUAGUGGGGGACAACAUUCCGAAAGGAAUGCUAAUACCGCAUACGUCCUACGGGAGAAAGCAGGGGAUCUUCGGACCUUGCGCUAAUAGAUGAGCCUAAGUCGGAUUAGCUAGUUGGUGGGGUAAAGGCCUACCAAGGCGACGAUCUGUAGCGGGUCUGAGAGGAUGAUCCGCCACACUGGGACUGAGACACGGCCCAGACUCCUACGGGAGGCAGCAGUGGGGAAUAUUGGACAAUGGGGGGAACCCUGAUCCAGCCAUGCCGCGUGUGUGAAGAAGGCCUUAUGGUUGUAAAGCACUUUAAGCGAGGAGGAGGCUACUGAGACUAAUACUCUUGGAUAGUGGACGUUACUCGCAGAAUAAGCACCGGCUAACUCUGUGCCAGCAGCCGCCGUAACAC